UUUUUUUCUUCUAGGUUUCUUAUUUUGUUCUUUCAUUUGAACAUAUUCCUCUGUCAUCUUAUUUUGUGUGAUUGCUCUGUCGUCUCUGUGGAUUUAGGAGGGCCGGUUUACUGUCUGGGUCUUGAAGGAGCGUCCUUGUGUGGGAGUCUCUCUCUGCAGUCUUUGUGUGCCCGCUGGCUUUGGUGGGGUCUCAGAUUCUUGCAGCCCCACCUGUGUCCUGGACCCUCUGCGGUUGCUGCAUCCAGGCCAGGCCCCUCGCUAACACUGAACCAGAUUGAAAAAUGGCACAGGCUGCUGGCUUCCUUUGCCAGCACCAGUCUGGCAAAACUACAGAUCUGAGGGAGAAACGUGGAUUUGAAGAGCUGACGCAGGGUCCUGCAAGGAGGCAUGAAGCUGAUCUGGACUAUUCGGCGUGGGUGUGUGGAACAGGCCAGCUCUGCCCUGGAGCAGGGGACGACUAGUUCUGGAACGGGCUGGGUAGGUUCCUAAGUUCUCCUCUUCCUCUCCUUUGCCCCUUCACCCCAGAAGCCGGAGAUGAGGUGCUCAGGUUCCGGAGGUAAUAGUGCGUGCGUGCUCAGUUGCUCAGUCCAACUGUGUGACCCCACGGACUGUAGCCCGCCAGGCUCCUCUGGCCAUGGGAUUUCCCAAGGAACAGUCCUGGAGUAGGUUGCAUUUCCUUCUCCAGGGGAUCUUCCCGACCCAGGGAGGUAAGAGUAGGGCUGUCCGAAAACCCUGCUGGGGUGAGAAACUGUUGAAAACAAUACAGGCUGCUCAGCGACCAGACCAGAGAUCAUUCCUUCUUUCAUCUCAUCUUUCACCACGUCCUCCUCCACCGCAUCCCCCAAUCCCAGGAAUGGUUGAUUUCAACCUCAGGACGUGACUUCCUGCCACGGCUGCUCUUUCCCGGGUGUUUAAUGAGGAAACCCUGGGCAGAGCACCUGCCUGGGUGGUGGCAAAUGGCAAUCACCAAAACCAGGACUCAUCCGCUCCUCUUGGCCUAGAUUCUCCUCGAUGCACACAAGCCACGCCCACUAAGGAGGAGACGUUCUUGACAAUGCAGACCAUCUCAGCAGAAUUAUCAGGAUGGAUGAGCAGAAAAGUAAAAUGAGCAUGUUAGACAUGUAUGUAUCUACGUAUGUAGAUAAGGGAAGAUAUUAGCCCUGUAAGUCAAGAACAAGAAAUCAUUCAAACAAAAUCUAAGUGUAAAUGUUAGUAUUGAAGAAUAGAGUGGUUGAAAUGGGAGAAUCAGAUGAAAAAUGACACGGGUUUUAUUUAUUGACUUUUAAAGUGUUUAUUAAAUUUGUUACAAUAUUGUUUCUGUUUUAUGUUUUGUUUUGUUUUUAGCCACAAGGCAUGUGGGAUCUUAGCUCACCAACCAGGAAUUGAAUCUGCACUCCUUGCAUUGAACAGUGAAGUCUUAACCACUGGACCGCCAGGGACAUCCCUGACACAGGGAUUAUAGAUUGAGAAAUCCUCCUAGGAAGAAAUGUAAAGAGAAAAUAUUGAAAAUAGAAAAUAAAAUCUAAGACAUGUGGAAGAUAGAUUUGUCAAUAUCCAGAUAAUAGAAGUCUCAGAAGAAAAGAGGAAAAAUGGAGGAAAGGAAAUAUUCAAAGAAGCAAUAUAAAAUUCUUGUACUUAAAGGUGAAAGGACCUAAGAAUGCAUAUAGGAAAGAUAAGGGAGAACUGAUAAAUAGACAUAUUGCAAUGAGCAUUAAGACCAUCAAAGACAAAGAGGAAAAUUCUUCUUUUUCUUAAUUGAAGUACCCUGUUAGCUUUAGGGGCACAGCCUGCUGACUUGAUAUUACUGUACAUUACUAGAUCAUCACUAUGUUACAUGUACUCACCAUCUGUCACUACAAAGUUAUUGCAAUAUUACUGACUGUAUUCUCCAUGCUGUGUAUUUCAUCCUCAUGACAUUUAUUUUGUAACUGGACUUUAGUUUGCCCCUCUUAGUCCCUGUUCUAUUUCCCUCAUCUCCUAUUUAAACACACUCCUGCCCUCUGGCAAUCUUUGUGUAUAAGUCUGUUUCUGCUUUUAUUAUGUUUGUUCACUUGUUUUGUUUUUAGAUUCCACUUUCAAGUGAAAUCACAUGGUAUUUGUUUUUCUCUGUCAAAAUUAUUUCACUUAGCAUAAUACCCUCUAGGUUCAUUGAUGUUGUCAGAAAUAGGAAGAUUCUUUUUUAAGGCCAAAUAAUAUUCCAUUGUACAAGUAAACUGUAUCCUUUUUAUCCACUCAACUCUUGAUGGGUACUUUGGUUGCUUCGGUCUCUUGGCUAUUGUAAGCAAUGCUGCAAUAAACAUAGGGAUGCAAA